rnacentral:lncRNA from 1 species
GUUUGAAUUAGAGAUGCUUGGCUUUUUGCCGCUGAUGGGCUAGCUCACUCUGAUUAGCAUGACGAUUCAAGCUAGCACCUCGGUAAAUAUCGAGGUCAACAGUUUGGUUGGCUAUUGUGGCUGCCUAUUCUAUUAGUUGCUAAGACCAUUAGCUCAAUUUAUGCUGACGUCUUCACUUUAGCCUUGACUAAUACAUACCCUUUCAAUGAUGUCGAUGUUUAUGUGGUAAUAAUUUUAGAUAAAAUACUGAUA